CAGAAGAUAGUUUAUAUAAAAUUAUAAUUUUGGAGAUUAUAGAUAAGAAGUUUUCUUUCUUCUGA
rnacentral:tRNA from 1 species